rnacentral:rRNA from 1 species
UACGUAGGGGGCUAGCGUUGUCCGGAAUCAUUGGGCGUAAAGCGCGCGUAGGCGGCCCGGUAAGUCCGCUGUGAAAGUCAAAGGCUCAACCUUUGAAUGUCAGCGGAUACUGCCGGGCUAGAGUCCCGGAAGAGGCGAGUGGAAUUCCUGGUGUAGCGGUGGAAUGCGCAGAUAUCAGGAGGAACACCGGUGGCGAAGGCGGGUCUCUGGGCCGUAACUGACGCUGAGGAGCGAAAGCAUGGGGAGCGAACAGG